ensembl:lncRNA
CUCCUGCUCCCGCGGGCCUUGGGCCUUUACCUAAUGCAGCCAUGUCAUCGCUUCUGAAAUGUAAAGCCAAACUGCUUCUCAGAAGAGGAGAUCUGAGCUGUGGGAUCACACGUGUAGUCGAGCACUCCAGCUUUUUGGCUGUUUGCUUGUAUUUGAAUCACAAGUUUCGUGCCAGCGAUAUAAAAAGAUUGUUAACAAAUGGCCAUUAAAACCGAAGACCUUGAAACUAAUUACACACAACGCUCAAAAAGAACUCGCUCUGCUAAUUGAGCGGAGCUCGUUACUUGUGAAGUAGGGAGGCUCAGCCUCCACUCACGGUGGAACAUACGGCAGGCUACGCGCGCAGCAGUCACAUCUGAACUGUUACACUUCAAAGGGCCGGGCGACGAUUGAUGUGUUACUGUCUGAGGAUGGCAACAGCUCAAAGGCAGAGAGAAACUGCAAAAGUUUUAAGUUUGAAGCUGAAGCGCGGACUUCAGAAGAGUUCGGCUUUGCACCGACUGAUUAGAGUAUAAGAAUGCAGUAAAUACAAUUUAAAAGUUAAAUUACCAUCUGGUCACAGCUAGAGGUAGAUUUCAGAAGCAGCACAAGUAAAUAGUUUCUUGCUCUCUGAACAAAUAAUUUUACAUUUCAACUAAGCCAUGUGGUAACUGGUACAAUUGAUUUCUGCUUGUAGUCAGUUACUGAACGGUUUCACAAUUGAUUUCAAUAGCCCUAGGAUGAAACUCUAUCUGCCAAGCAUACAAUGUUUGGUUGGUGCAGAUUGCAUUCAUACUGCUAAAAGCAAAAAAAAAGCUAUGGAAGGAAAUUGCCAUCUUGCGUUCAAGAGCCACGUGGAUGUGGCACUGGGGGACGUGGUCAGUGGGCAUGGCGGUGGUGGGCUGACGGUUGGACUGGAUGAUCUCAGAGGUCUUUUCCAACCUCGGUGAUCCUGUGAGUGCUGCAAAACCUGGAGCUGAGUUUGGCAUUAAAGCAGCGUGCUGUCUGUGCUGGAGGAGCUGUGGCGAGGCAGCGAUCUGCACAGCCCAGAGCCCCUCACUCUGUGCAGCCAAAUAGGAGUGGGGCUUUGGAGUUACCGGGAGCACUGCAACAGAGCCAAGAUGGAAUGCUUUGCUGGGCUGAGCUAGAGCAAUCUAAUUGAUGAUCCGUUUUACUCGUUACCAUACUGACUUGCCUCUAGGUCAGUAUAGGCUACAGGAAGUUUGUCUUUGGCAAAGAGUCUUCCUAAAGCCCAGUGGAAAUUCUCAAGUUUCUGCCUUCACUUUCAACUGCGGCUAAGAGAUGGAAGGAUCACAAGCAGGAGAGGAAACUUCUUGCCCUCAGUACCCUGCAGCUUUUUUUCUGGACCUGUGAUCCUCAGGAGACAAAGCUAUCUGAUGUCCCCAGGGCGACCUUUCCUUUUCAGUAGGUUUUAGUGCUUGAGGUUCAGCCCGCAGCCCUGUGAUUAACCACCUCCCCUGAGUAGACACAGAGCGCACUAUGUAUCACUACUGGAAACACAAAGCCCUUCAUCCUACAAAACUGUAUCAGCAAGGAGAUACCGCGCGGUGCCCCGUGGAUCCCUGUGGAUGUGCGUUCCCCACCACUGACACAGAUGGCGAGCAACAGAAUCCUCCGUGACCCAUUUUUAGAUCCAUUUGACACCUGCUUCAUAUGCUCGUGUAAAACCAGAGAUUUCAAGCUGAAAAAAAGCUUGCCAUAGUUGUUACUGGAUUAGAGGGAAUCUUUUUUUCAGCUCAUACAACAAAUUCCUUUUCCGCCUCUGGAGAGACCCACUUUAAGCUUUAGUCUAAUGGCAGGAUUGGAGAGGUUCUUUAAGCCCCCGUGGUGGCUGCAGCAUCCGUGGUUUGACAGAGAGGGGAGGCGUGGGACAGUGUGUGCAAAGUGACUGGGGCUUGUGGUUGACAAAGGGUAGUGAUGCGUCUCAACAUUCUUGUGCGCUUGCUUUGGGGGUGUGGAGCCACGUGGUGGGGUGGGGAGUGGAGAAGAGAGCAUUUUUCUUCUCUGAUUCAGUGUGGAUCUGCAGUUUUCCUUCUCCAUGAGCAGUGCAGAACUUUCCCAAAGCUGAAGAGAGUUCUCAGUCUUGCCUUUGUCUGGAAAAGCGUGUUUUAUAGCAUGAGAGCAAGGGAUAAGUGCAGCCUAAAGGGCCUGAGUCAUAUGAGCUGUCACUUAGCCAUCUAUCUAAUACCGAUUAACUACAAGACAGUUUUAGAUUUUCUUCUCUUUUUUUUCCCAAAGAAAUCAACUCAUGACUCAGUACCACAAAAAUGAAAAAGGGAAAAUUCAGGGUAGUCUCAUUUUUGGCUGAGUGAAUGAAGGACUCUUAGAUGACCCGACAUUUAUUUCCUCCUCUUACAGUGCAAACUGCAUUUUUGCUGUAGCUGGAACACUGAUUCUUACCACAAGCAGAACAGCAUGAAUGUGAGGCUGUUUGAAGAGGGGGCCUUGAUGGACAGUUGUUUUUAAAGGACUGCUUUCCUGAGAAAUGGACUUGAGUAACUCAGGCACCAUAUGCUUCCUGCUGUGCAAAGGCAUGGGUAAAUUUCUGUAUGGUUGGGCACUGGAAGUAAAUGCGGCAUAAGAAAUAGGUUUGGACACAGAACGCAGAUCCAUACUUAGUGGAUGGAAUUCAUAACACCACUGUACGGAGGCACUGGGUUGUGAAAAAGAAUCUGACUUUGGUGAGGUGAAGGAUGCAUUUUCGACCAAGGACUGAACUGAAUCAGUAGACUUAGACUAGAUAUCAGGAAGCAGUUAUUUACUGUGAGUGUGGUGAGACACUGGAACAGGUUGCCCAGAAAGGUUGUGAAUGCCCCCUCCCUGGAAGCAUUCAAGGCCAGGCUGGAUGGGACUUUGAGCAACCUGGUCUAGAGGGAGGUGUCCCUGCCCAUAGCAGAGGGUUGGAACUGGAUGAUAUUAAAGGUCCCUUCCAACCCAAACCAUUCUAUGAUUCUAUGACUGGACUCAGCCUUCAGAGCUGGCAGCACAUUUCUCAAUGUAAUGGCCUCCUAGAAGUUUACAUGCUGCAAUAAUGACAGAGUUUGAAGACCCCCAGUGUGUUCCCUAUUCAACUUCAGUUGGUUGAUUUUUUUCUGGGCAUGUCUGAGCUGGAGCUCAGCAGCAGUCCUCUCCCAAAAGUGAUUUAUACGAAAGAUCUGGCAUCCCCGGUUUCUAUUGAAUUGCAGUCCCUGCAAAUGGUCUGAUAAAAUCAGAUACUCUGAUAAAAAUCUCUACGCUUAUUCUUUGAUUACUGAGCAAGCUCAAUUUCAUCAUGGUGAAGUAGAAGCCAGCGGUUACAAUUACCUUUCCUUCCUUUCAUCUGGCUUUUAAUAUUUGGAUUUAAGAUGGAAAAAUUACAAAUGAAUAAAUCUGCACCAAGUCUAGUCAAGAUUUUUCUCUGUAUAAUAAUAUUAUUCAUAUCUCUAUGAUUAGCAACAGCUGGAAUAAAUUUUAGUAAAAAUAUAUUAAAAUCUGCAUUGUGGAGUAAGCCACAUGGAGUCACUGUAAUUUGAGGAAGGAAAAAGUUUUCAUAAAAGCUACUGAGAAAGGAAUAUGGAUUUUUCUUUCAGGUGACUUUUUUCCAUUUUGUUUUCGCAAGCAGAUCUGGUUUUAUUUCACUGUGCUCAACUUUCUGGUGCUCGUGUUGGACAAACACUUGAGAUACAGCAGUACCUCAACCAGCCACGCUGGACACUGCUUCUUCUCACUAAACCAAGGUGUACCGAGCUGCUCAAGCUGUGUUAAAGCAAAGUUUUCAGCUGCCAUUACAAUGACCUAAUCCAGUGCUGGUGCUAUAUCAGCUGGAAAGCUAUUAGGCAGCUCCACUUUUCACCUGCAAACAUCAUCUGUACCAGCUGCUGUUUUCAGAAAGUGGCUGAGAAAUGCGCAGGCAGCCAAUAGAUCAGUUAGAAUCAAAGCAAUAAAACUCUGUACAGCUUCUCGAGAGAAAUAAUUUGAAACCCCAGUUCAGUGGCCAACUGAAAAGGGCAGCAUCAGGAGGAAGUAGAGUGGGGAAGAGGCAGCUGGGAAUUACUGGAGCAGCUUUUCAGUGCUCCCUUUUCUCUCUGCGUUGUUCCAUAUGUCUAAAUGACCCUCAGACUGGAGGUGGGCUGAAGUGGACCCUCCUUAGAGGUCCUUGCUUCUUCAGUAGUCAUCUGCACUCCUGAGAAUCUGCUGUAGACAGAUAACAUAUGUUGCAAAGCGUGAGGAAUUUUUAAUAAAAAUAUAAAGAACUUUCUGAAUGAAAGUGAUUACCUAAGUGUGGGAAUGCCAGAGAGAAGAGCGGAAUGGUAGGUGCAGAUGGCACCUCAGCCAGCAGGUCAUCAAGGUGACAACGGGUCUGUGUGAGACUAACCAGAACCUCCUAAAACCGAAGACAGUCUACACAGCGAGCAAAAUGAAGGACAGGCUAAUAAACCAGAGCCCUCAAGAAGUGAUGAAAGGAAGAAAAAAGCAGGCAAGGAGCCAUAAAACACCCAGAUAAGGACAGAAAAGCAAAUACUAAGCCAGGGGUGGAACAGGAUGAGGAAACAAAAGAUCACACUGUCAACUCUUAGGAGAUCCAAGAGCAGCACUUGGCUUCCAGUCCGUGGAGAACCUAGGCGACAUGUUGAGAUGCCUACAGAUGUCCCUUUCCAUCUUCACCACCACAAGUCACCUGGGCCAGAGCACCUGGACCCAUCCAUUUUGGUGUUUGGAAGCAUGAAGGCAAACACAAGCUCAGGAUUGCAGCUCCUCCUGUUAGUGGGUGCCACAGGGCUCCUUCCUCCCAGGCUCUGGGAUCACAUCUUCUCUCCAAGGAGAGCAAUGCAAAACAUCAACAUAUGAAACCUUCCAAGUGAGGAAACUCCAGACAGCACAGAAACUCCAUGAACGCAGACAGCCCCAGCUCAUCACACCUGCCAUUUUCUCCCGUCCCUGGAAUAUGGGACCCAACGGCUUGGCUCGAGUUUCAUCUUACAUAACUGCCACUCACAGGGUCCUUCUGAGAUUUUCCUGUGGGCUGUUUAGAGACUUGCAAAGAUGCUCCGUGGCCCAGCAUAUCUUAGCUGUUAUAGACUUAAUUCCAGAGCUUUGUUCCUCAGGCACAACGCAACCUUUUUCUUUGUACAGUAGAGGUCAUGUAUGCUGAGACAGAGCUUCCCUAGAUUCUGUUGCAAGAAUAAUGAGUGUUUCUCUGCAAAACCUGGGAAAAAAAAAAAAAAAAAAAAAAGAAGAAGAAGAAGAAAAAAAAGAAGGAUUUCCAUGAUCCCCAUCAUCAUCUCAGUGCAAAAGGCCAACGCUCUCCGGUGCAAACAAAAACAAUAAUAAUAGCAAACAAACCACUCUAUCAAACCACAGUACUCCUCUCCACUCUUAAUUCUUCCUUGGGAAAAGAUGGAGAGAAAACAAAUUAGCUUCCUGAGGGUUACCACUGCUUAAAAGGAUCUGUUGAUGAAAUCAGUAAAAGAACAUACUGAGCUUGCUCUGAAUAGGCAAGGGCUGUAGAAGAGCCUCAAGGAAAAUUCGGGCGCAGUCCGACAUUGAAGAAGUUGGGUCUAUUUCUAGUUAUCUCAGUAUUGACGUAGCUCAACCAUUGUGAGGAACAGGAAAUUCAUAAAGACUGGGUUAGUCUUUUUGGCAAGAGGCUGGCAUCUGCCAUGGGACAUUAAUCCAUUCUAAGCUGCAGUAAGCUGAGCUGCUGGGUUUGUAUUCGUGUCACUGAGACUGCUUACACUCACUGCUGGUCUAUAAACUCCUAUUAGUCUGGCUUGGCAGUGGCUUACAUCUUGAUGGAAAGAAUAGCCUAUGGAUCACGAUCAUUAAGUAAUAAUUUAUACAAAUUCUGCUAAGCGAGUCAUUUUUCCUGAGUCCGCCUUCUAAAAUAUUUUGGGGAGAGAUGAAUAAAGCAAAAGUGGGAUUUUUUUAGAGAAAGGGGACUAGAAGGUCCCAGGGCAUUUGUCAUUGUAAUAAACACAUCUGCCAGCUGAAUUGGCAGAGCUGUUAAAUUCAGUUUCUAUGAAGAGUUCCUCCAAUGCUGAGAUCUUGGAUGCCUCGCAAAAAUUUUGCUCUCUGGUCAGCUGAUGCAAAAUAAAAUUAAGGAAGAAAAGUAACUGACAGCCACAGUUAGCAUCUUUGUUUUUCUGAAUAUCAGACUGUCCAAAACGUUAAUGAGAAGAGGAGGACUCAUAAGGGGUGACUUGACAGGAAUCACAUUUUAAUUUCCUUUGUGAAAUAUUGCAGGCUUCUCUCUCUCUCCAGGGAGCACCUUGCUGUUCUUGCCUGUGGGGACCACGUAUCCUCCCCGCAAAGAAAACAUAUCCCACGGUAUUUCCUUCUUUGUUCUCCCAGAUGAAACUUCCCAGACGAGCUUAAUGGGAAUCCCAUUAAAUUUUUUAAUUCGUUAAACUGGUUUUUAACUUUUCAGGCUCCUGUCGUGCCAUAACACUGACUGACAAAUGACAGGGCCCUGCUAGGUUUGUCCAGUGUGUAACGUGAGCUCCCAGGGCUGGAAGCAAUAAAACAGUUUUUUGAGAAUUGGGGUUUUGUAAGAGACACGCUAGCCCUGACUUCACCACGCCCUUUGAUUUUGUUAGCUGCAGUUUGGCAAGCUAUGGUUGGGUUUCGUUAGAGUUGCUAUCAUUAGAGGCUCUCCCUUCUCAAAGGUAGGGAGGAUUUUCUGGGUGCAUCAAGGUCAUUUAAGAGCAUAUAAGCAGGAAGGGGAAUGGCUGUUUAUGAGGGUGGAUAGUGAUAGGACAAGGGGGAAUGGUUUUAAACUGAGGCAGUGGAGGUUUAGGUUGGAUACUGGGAGGAAGUUUUUCCCCCAGAGGGUGGUGACGCACUGGAACAGGUUGCCCAAGGAGGUUGUGGAUGCCCCAUCCCUGGAGGCAUUCAAGGCCAGGCUGGAUGUGGCUCUGGGCAGCCUGGUCUGGUGGUUGGCGACCCUGCACAUAGCAGGGGGUUGAAACUCGAUGAUCUUUGAGGUCCUUUUCAACCCAGGCCAUUCUAUGAUUCUGUGGUUUAGGAAGAGAGCUGAUGAGUGCCAUGCUGGAGCCCUGAUCUGCAUGGACAACGUCAGAGUUGCAUAAUGACCUGACCAAGGCUCACACCGAGCAGUUUGUAAGAGAUGACUUUCAGAUGAAUCAAAAGGCAGCCUCCCCUUCCCACGCUGACCUCCUUGGCCAGCCUGUUUGGAGCUGCCCUAAGCUGAAAAUCUCAUCUAUCUUUUACCAUUACAUUUUCAAAAGACUGUGGGUUGAAAAGAACAAAGAAAAGCUACCAUUAAAGUCUGGCUCAGCUACUAUCGUCUCUUGCUGGUUUUGGAAACAAAGUAAAGAGAUGUCAGUGGAACAUUUCAGCUCACUGUCAUUAAUACAGUUGGGCUGUCCUGGAAGAAUAGCUCCCUCGAAAUUCAGAACAUAGUUUCUCUGGCUUUCUAGGUAAAACCAAUCAGAUCCCAGACUGAGCAGGGGAACAAGGCAAAGAAAUGGUGGAAGAAAAUGAGACUUUUAGCUACACCACACAAAACAUCUGAAGCAGCAGAGGUGCAGGAAAAUUAGGAGGUGUGCCCAAAGCUACCUUGGGCAGGGAACACAGGCAGGAGCUGACAGCACACUUGCAAGGCCCACUCCUCCCUCCGAGGCACACAACUGAUUGGGGAAGGUUGGCUCUGCACUCUGGAUUUCACUGGUUCUUGUGUUCCCAGUUCAUACUGGGAUGAGUAGGCAAGAGCAAAGGACGUAGCCAUUGGCACGGCGGUACUACUGGGAAGCACUGCAGUGAAAGCUGUACUUCUCUGCCCUGGCCAAGAACCACA